UCAUCGUUUUUCAUAAAUAUCGCCAUUUACUCGACGCCUCUGCCUUUUGGUUCACUGUCUUCAACCUCAACAAAUCAUGUCCUGACGAUUUAAAAAAAGAAAUUUGAAUCAUACAAUGACCAAAUUAAAAGCGUGAUAUCCGUACCCCUGUGCAGCUGUAAUGAUUAAAAGCAGGUGGCAUUUCGUUUAUUCUCCGUGGCAGCAGCUCGGGUUGAUUACCCUGCGACUAAUUAAUGCCCACCAGCCGUUUAAAAUAAUCACCGCUCCCUCGCUGAGUGGAAAAGUUAAUUUGACAAAUUACUGUUCUUGACUGACACAAUCUUCUAUUUAUUCUAGGGAACUAUUACCUGGUUUAAUAAGACGUAUUUAUUUUUCCUCAGAGGAAGAUGAAUUAUCUGCUCCGAUGUUUAGUUUCGGAAAAAUAUAUUCUAAGGAAAUCUAUCAAGAGUCUGCACUGUCAGGGAAAAAUUAAGUAGCUGAAUUAAUCUUUUGUUGUUAAGAUGUUCGACUUUUUAUUUUAUCUGUUCUUCCACAGUAAUUUGAACUGCUCACCGUACUGAUAUAAAAAUUGACACCUUUUGAUUAAAAUUUUGCCCUCAUUUCAACUGUUAAAAAAAGAAGCAAAAUGAUAUUUUGCCCGUUUUGUCCUGACAGAUACUGCAAAAGUUAAUGUGCACUUCUUAAGACACUUUACUUGAUGUGGAUUCUCUGACAGAAUUUUUGGCUGCUUGGACUUAGCAACAUGUAUGGAACAAAAUUAGUGUCAAUAAAAGCAAACAAUGGACAAUGGAUGGAAAGAUGGUAUAAAAGGCUGUUUGUUCCCAACUGAGUCAAGCAUGCUUUAGCUGCAAGUCGGAAAACCAGUGCUAAUUGUUGUGCUGAUUACUUAGUGGCUUUACAAAGAAAUAAUGUAUUCCUCUCAAUUUAAUGAGCUCAAACAUUAGAGAAUGUUCAGAAAUAAGGUUUGUACAGCACUGUCUCUGUCACUUCAAUUUAACAAGUCAAAAAGUCAUCGUUAAUAGUCUGAGUUGUGGCGUCAGUGGAUGUUCUCGUAUUUUGAACUCAGUGUGAAUAGAAAGCCUAAGCAAAAAAUUGUAUAUUUAAGGCAUUUAAAGGUCCAGCAUGUAGAAUUUUGAUUGUUCUACUGAAAUAAAAGGCAUAUUUCCCCAAAAUGCGAAAUAAUGUGUGUGCCCCUUUUAAGAUUUAUGAGUAAAUUGGAGGGGGGAUAAAGGGAAUGCAGAGUUUCUGUAAAUAAAUGAAAGAUUUAUAAUCUACUGUGCACACUAAUCUUUGAACACCUUAUCAUACACUAGUUAAACUAUCAGUCGAACUGGUUUGGUGAGUCUGACUAUUUUUCAAUAAAAUAUCGGUAGAAUGUACCAAUAUUCUAGUACAAUAUUUUAUACAUAUUGGAAAGACACAGGUACCAAUAUAUAAGAAAAACAGACAAAAGCUUCUCCAUCACUGCAAUAAUAGAAAAGUAACAUUUUCACAUCCACUCAGAAUAGUUUGGUCUAACCUGUAAAAGAACAGUCAUGCCCUUCUCUCCUUGUAAUUAUUUCAAUUAGGAAAAGUUACUGACAAGAUGAUAGUCUUCAUUCUGUUCUAGCAAUAUUCUGUGAACUUUAACCUUACAGAAACAGUUUUCUUUUAAGCUUUCUUAAACUAAUCAGACCUUUUCUUGGUGGUAAAUGUAUAAUCCAUAUUUUAGGAGGAAACAACAUUUUUGACAUGCAUAGUAUUUUAUUUUACUUAUCCGUUUAAGUCCGACUAAACUUCAAGGUUUGUGUGUGAUUGUGUUAUGUCUCUCAAUUUGCAUAUGCAAUUUCUAUAGGCAGGCUUUGCAAGAAUGUUGUUCUAGCUCGGGUUUAUCUAGAACAAAGAAGACCAGAUGCAGUUUGGACUCCGCUGUAAAAUAAGAUGAAAACAGCUCCUUGGUUUAGAGCAGAUCUGAAAGCUGCAAAUAAUACAGCAUGAUGCACUUCCUUACAGUGUGUACAACACUGGGGAGCCUCCCACCCUCCACUGACUGCCCUGUGCUGCCCCUCUGGCCCAUGCAGCUCUGGGAGGUGAGUCAUAUCCUCCAUUUUAAAAGCCAUCACUGAUUGAGACAGUGAUAUUUUUCACUUUUAAGUGAGUUUCAAGAAAUAGUUUCUGACUUUUAUGAGUGAAAAUACAAGCAACUUUAAUGCUUUGCUCUGUAAAUCAUAUUAAAUCUGAAGUAUAUUUUUAUUUAAGAACGAAAACUAUUAUUUCUGAAGCCCCUGUUUUUCUGCUGCAAAUACUUCUGUAUGCUUAUAGGAGAUGCAUUCUGGAUGCAGGAUGCUACCAACAUCUGCCCCAUCAUCAUUUACAGCGAUCUUCCAGUCUAAUAUAUACAGAAUUAGCUGAAAAUGUACUCUAAAAAGAAUGUAAGUAAGAACUAUAAUUUCCCCUUUUUACCAAGAAAUGCAUGUCACCAUAGCGAUGUCCAUAACAGAUCAAUUUAUUGUUAACAAUCACUGUUUUGGUAUAGCGCACUUCAGCGAAUGGAGUAAAGAAAACACAGAUUAAAAGAAGGUCUAGCUAACAAUAGCAACAAAAAGAGAAAUAAAUAGAAAAGAAUCUGAUGUCUAAUAAUUCCAUGUUCAUAUGAAUACAUAACAUCUACAGUAUAAGUUAAUAAAUCAAAGCUACUGUAUAAAUACAUCACCAGCAUGCACAAUAUUGUUUUUUUUAUGGAGAAUAUUGGAGCGGUUAUCAUCUCACACUGAAGAGACAGUAUAGUAGGCAAGUGCAUUUUCUUGACCAAGAAGAAACUGAAAACAAAGUUUAAUCCACAAACCUCAAAUCUGCUCGUACAGCUUCCACUUUAACAAUGUGUGUGUGCUCUGCUCACAAAUUAGUUUGUUAUUUAGGUCUGUGGUUCAGGGUGCGACUUUUCAGAGAUCCUGUCGAUUCGUAGAAAAGACGGCGUUACCUGCAGACAGACAUUUCAGUCAGUGUUCUUUCGAUUUGCUCAUCUGGAUCAAAUCGUUUCCCCACAAACACAAGGAGCCAAUCGAAAGAUGUUACAGUAAUGACAAUACUGACAAUAAGAGUUAGGUGUCCAAAAACAGGUCAUUUAUUUAAGAAAGCACAUCAGCACAUGAGAGGGACAAGCUGCACUAAUUUUUUUUUUUUUUUUUUUAACUGUAUAAGUUUGCAGUUUUAGUUACAGUAUGACUGACCAUGUGACUGAGCUGGACACAUACCUGACA